rnacentral:tRNA from 1 species
GCGGGGGUGCCGAAGUGGUCUAACGGGCUGGCUUGAGGUGCCAGUGGCUUAGUGCCUUCGCAGGUUCGAAUCCUGCCUCCCGCA